rnacentral:tRNA from 1 species
GUGGUUGUAGCUCAGCUGGUUAGAGCGCUGGUUUGUGGUACCAGAGGUCGCCGGUUCGAAACCGGUCUUCCACCC